GACAGAGGGUGCAAACGUUGCUCGGAAUUACUGGGCGUAAAGCGCGUGUAGGUGGAUUGGUGUGUCAGAUGUGAAAGCCCUGGGCUCAACCCAGGAACUGCACCUGAAACUACCAGUCUUGAGUGGUGGAGAGGGAAGUGGAAUUCCUGGUGUAGAGGUGAAAUUCGUAGAUAUCAGGAGGAACACCAGUGGCGAAGGCGGCUUCCUGGACACUAACUGACGCUGAGACGCGAAAGCUAGGGGAGCAAACAGG
rnacentral:rRNA from 1 species